rnacentral:rRNA from 1 species
AUGGGGGCAUGCAUGACGUUGUCGACGUGCUCACCGGAGGCGGCUGAAGGCACGCAUGUGUUCGACAUCUUGGGUUACAGCAAGCACAUGGGCAUGGGGCAAGACCCCGGUAGCUACAUACAAUCAGGGGUUUUCACUGUCGGCGGCCACAACUGGGCGAUCCGCUUCUAUCCUGAUGGGUAUAAAAGCGAGAAUCGAGACUACAUCGCAGUUUUUCUCGAGCUUAUGAGCAAGAGCACUAAAGUCCGGGCCUCUUGUGACCUGAGGCUGGUCGACCAGUGCACCGGAUUACGGUCUUCAGUGAUCAAAACAGGGCCUAGGAUUUUCAAGUCCAACGAUUCCAGUCGGUAUGCUCCAGGGACUGCUCAGUUCAAAAGGCGAAGCGAGAUCGAGGGAUCCGCAUACCUUAAGGAUGAUCGCCUGAUGAUUGAAUGCAUUGUUACUGUUUUCAAGAAGCCACGUGUUACCAAAACCACCGUAGCCAAAUCGCCGCCCAAAAUUGACAGGCCACCAUCUGACAUGGCUCAGCAUGUUGGCAUGCUGCUGGAAGAAAAGGAGGGAUUGGAUGUCAGUUUCAUUGUUGGAGGGGAGACCAUUGAAGCGCAUAGGCUCGUUCUCGCUAUGCGGUCGCCUGUUCUUAAGGCGGAGCUCUACGGUCCAAUGAGGGAGGCGAGGCCGGGGCAGUGCAUUACCGUCAAGGAUAUGCAGCCAUCCAUCUUCAGGGCCCUGCUCCAUUUCAUCUAUACCGAUUCUUUGCCUGGCCGUGGGGACUUCAAGGGAGAAGAGAAUAUUGAGAUGAUCCGGCUUUUACUGGUGGCUGCGGACAGAUAUGCCAUGGAGAGGCUCAAGAUGGUUUGCCAAAGCAUCCUUUGCGAGCAUCUGAAUGUGGACACCGUGUCAACCACAUUGGCUUUAGCUGACCAAUAUAACUGUGAUAAGCUUAAGGAUGCUUGCCUUGAAUUUAUCAAAAUAUCAGAUGAUAACACUAUGGACGCCAUAGUGGCAACCCAAGGCUUCAAAGAUCUCAAAGUGACUUGCCCAUCUCUCAUAGUGGACGCACUAGAGAACAGAAGAAAACUUCGUAAAGCAUGA